rnacentral:rRNA from 1 species
UACGAGGGGGGCGAGCGUUGUUCGGAAUUAUUGGGCGUAAAGGGUGCGUAGGCGGUUUGGUAAGUCUUGUGUGAAAUCUAACAGGCUCAACUUGUAGUCUGCACGAGAAACUGCCGGGCUUGAGUAUGGGAGAGGUGAGUGGAAUUCCUGGUGUAGCGGUGAAAUGCGUAGAUAUCAGGAGGAACACCUGUGGCGAAAGCGGCUCACUGGACCAUAACUGACGCUGAUGCACGAAAGCUAGGGGAGCAAACAGG